GGUCCCAUAGCUCAGUUUGGUUCAGAGCGUCGUACUAAUGUUUCGUUUCGAAAUAUCUAGUAAUGCGAAGGUCGGCAGUUCGAGCCUGUCUGGGACCA